CCCCCAGCCGUUCUGGCCUUCGGGAUCGUUCUGGCCGAGGCCGCAACGAUCGUGGCCCUUGGGGCCAGCAACACCUACGGCAAGGGUGUCGCCCGAAGCCAGGCUUAUCCGGCUCAGUUGGAAGCCAUCCUGCGCGCCAAGGGUGCGCGGGUGCGUGUCGUAAAUGCCGGCAUCAACGGCGAUACGACCGAAGGGAUGUUGCGUCGGCUGGAUCGUGCCGUCCCCAACGGGACCAACGCGGUCA
rnacentral:misc_RNA from 1 species